rnacentral:snRNA from 1 species
AUGCUCAUUUUUGUAGCACAAAUAUUAAAACUGAAAUAAUUCAGAGAAGAUUAGUAUGGUUCCUAUGCAAGGACAAUGCAAACAUUUCAUGAAGUGCAUUGGUCUUGG